UGUUUACUGUAAAUCACAAUACCAUAACAGAGAGUCCUUCUAUUUUUCUCUUCGCAAUUUGCAAAUCUUUCAGUCUUUUAGAUAGAAAGUUGCCUUCUUUCAUUGCAACGAAAGAAAUCAUGGCCAUUACCUUUCAGCAACUGUUUUUCAUAACCUUCAGUCCUUUAAACCUUUCCCGUAACUACGCAUACAAAACCCCAGCGAAUUGUUGAUGAUUCAUCGUCACUCUAUUUUGGCUCCAAAAAUUAACGAUGCUCAAAACAAUCUUAUUGUCAAAGGCUUAUUUCCUGUGCGAUUCUCUUAAGAAGAAAAACAAGAAGAUAAGAGAAUCCCAAACAUAAAGGAGGCCUGAUCUCCCUCGUUGUCCGGCAGUAUGCAACAACACCUGUAUCAACAAGAAGAAGAGGUUGAACAACUCCUUAUCUCCCAGAAAACACGCUUAUGCUUUAACAGUGGCAGUGCAUGGGUCCAUGUCCAUUACUAUUAUAGCACGUUUCCAGCAUCUUUUGAAGGUGUUAAGAGUCUAUGCUGCAGCAUGGAAACUAAGGGGUAUGAAGACAUCGAGGAAGUUUACUAUUGAGAUGGAACAAAGUCGGGAAGCAAUACCUUGCAAUGCUGCAUGAAAUUGGAUUGUUGUUUGAUGGUUUUUGUUAUGUCGAUGUGUGUUUUGGUUGCUUGAUUUGUGUUCGGUUUUGUUUUUGCAAAAGAAAUCAUGUCAUUUUGAACUACUUGCUUAAAAUCAUGGACAUUCCUAUUUGCAUAAAAAUAAUUUCAAUUAACCAAACCUCAUGAUAUUUCAUUUUGAUUUCAAUGAAAUUUCUCUCAAAUACAAUUUCAUUUUGCUCAUACAUUUUGUAUAUCUUUUUUCUAUUAUUAAUAUAGACGUUCGGGCUAACUUGCGCACACCUCGACUAGUCCCACAUGCCCUGAAGUUAACAAUCAUAUAAGCCUCUAGUGGCCCUGAGGUUUAUGAGACUCGAACUUGUGACCUUUAGGAAGCAUACCCAAGACCUGACCAGUUAAGCUACACCCUUCAAGGUUACAUUUUGUAUAUCUUGUCUUGGUUUGUGACUGCCAUUUUCGUUUAUAUACAUUUUAUUGUUUUUUUCAAGUUUUUGUAUGUGUAUAUAUAAUACAUUGAAAUAAGUCCACGGUGAUGAUGGCAAUCAUAUAUGUUUGUGUGUUGAUUGAAAUUGUGUGAUUGGUUUUCUCUAUUUUUGCAUCAUUGAGUUUUGAAGCCACCAUAUUCCUAGGUUUUUUUUAUUUAAUUUUAUGUGUUAGUGAAUUUUUUUUUCUUAUCUAAGAACCAACCCAAUGAUUUUAAGAUGUAUAAUAGUGUCCUCUCCCUCUAAAGUUGAAAGAAAACAUAAAUGGUCAAUACAUGAUUUUACUUUUAAAAUGAUAUUUUUUUUUUUUUUGUUUAUGGACCUAUGAUUUUGAUAAUAGCCCAAAAAUACUUUUUUCGAUCCAGUUUUUUGAUUAUCCAGUCAAUCAUCAUCCUAUUAGCAGAGUUACUUUCAGGAUGACAACAUUUAAUUAUUUUUUUCUAAGAACAUAUACAAUAAACAAUUUGUAAAUAUUAUUUAAUAAUUAUGCACUUAAAUUCUAAAUGUGUGUGAAUGCUCGCUUAAGUAAAAAAGUACCUCUUGGUAAUUAAUUUAGGAUAGAUCAUUAGGUUUGACUGCUUAAAAAAACUAUAUGAGCUUGAUGAGGAUUUUGGUGAGUUGUGAGAGAAGUGUUAGAGUUAGAAUAUGCUUGAUGACUUAUAUAUAUAUAUAUAUAUAUAUAUAUAUAUAUAUAUAUAUAUAUAUAUAUAUAUAUAUAUAUAUUCUUGAUGAGAGGUAAUCAAUUUUCCAUCCUUCAUUUUUUAUCACAAGAAAAAGGGAUUUGAUAUUUGCAUGAGUGGGGCUUGACUAGUCACUUGAGGUGAAAAAAGACCAUUGUUGUUGUUACGGAGAAGUAUUAUUAGCCUUAAUUGAAACAAGAUAUUGGUAAUUUUGUGAAAAAAUACUGCAUUUAUAAAACUGCCAAAGAGCAACCAUAAAAUAUUACCUUUAUAUAUAUAUAUAUAUACUAAUUCUUGAGAAUAAAUAGGAGGACUUGUUUAUGAUUUUGUACUUGGAUUACCCCAUGCAUAAAGGAGAAUGAAUUUUGUAUUUGUUAUUGUUGAUAAAUUCUCAAACAUAAAUUUUAUUUCUUAUAAGGAGACAAAUGAUGUUUUUGCAA